GGGAAGCCGGGGAGGCCCCGCUGGCGGCGGUGAAAAGCCUGGGGAGGGGGCUGGGAGAGCCUCGGCUUCCCUCGGGACACCGGGGGCUGGAAGUGGGAAGGAGGGGGUUGCCCGUGUUUGACAGGUGUCACGGCUCAAGGUCUUGGUUGUUUUUUAGUUCUGACAUUUUUGGAGAACAAAGCACAUGCCAGGAUCCGGCAUGGUGUCAGAAUCUGCCCAGGUGAAUGAGAAAAAUGAGAGCAAUAGCACCGGCAGCGCAGUUCCUGUCUCCUGCUGCUGAGGGGGAAUUGACAGACAAGUCCCACUCCUGAGGAUGUGAUGUCCUGGGUGUCCAUGUCCUGCUGCUCACUCCAUCGUGCAGAAGUGACUCCACCAUUCUGCUUUUCCAGCUCUGCCUGCUCUCAGCAAAACACAACUGCAGCAGGAGCAGCCUCCCCAGGCAGACAUGCCUCAGCCCUCAGGAAACCUCAAACCCUGUUUCCCCAUCUCACAGUAGCUACCUCCAUGUCUUUAUUAAUCUGAAUAAAUUUGGGUAUGUGUAUUUAAUUGACAGGGAAAAAUAAAAUGUGACUUAAAAGAGGUUUAAAACAUUUUUUUUUUUCCCUAACAGCGAGGUCCACGCUGACAACAGGAUGAUACCAGCUGGGAUCUACCUUUCUGAUCUGAAAAUAUGAGGAUUACUCACAUGUCUAAAAAUAAGCCAUGCUGAAAUUCCCUUGUUGGAUUAAGAUCUAAACCCUGCAAUUGUCACUUUUCCCACCAGUGUCAGUGGCUUAACUAAAUAUACUGUCCACAUUGCUGCCUGAUAUUCCCAGAUUGUUUCUCUUUCCCCUUUCACUGGAACUUCCCCAUGUUUCUGUGAGUUUAUUUUACUUUUUGGUUGCUUGCUUGUUCUUUUCACCAAUUCAUCAUCUUUCCUGCUACAUUCCUUUCCCCAGCCAUGUAUGAUCUCCCAUCCUGUCCUUUCCAUUUCUUCUCCAAGGUUUGCCACCCACUGCUUCAAAUUUGGGAGAAGAUAUCCAAACUACAAAUUUCUGCAAGUGGUGGGAAAAGUAUAUACAAAUUUAUCCUGGAUUUGUGUCUCUUCCAUGCAAGAAAGGGUAGAAGUAUUCCCAGGGUUGGGCCAGUUUGCUGGUAAGGACACUCUGACAUCUGAUAAGUGCUGUGCUGGCACAAAAUCAUUUCCAGGUGACACACAAUCUUAUGGUUUACUCUGAUGAAAAAAGUGGACUCAUGAUUUAGCCACAUGUGGAGAAACAACUAAGACCAGACAUGAGGAAAAGGCAAGGAUUUAAUGUGAAUCCAGCAUUUUAUUCUGUGCUUUGAAAUAAAGAAGUUCACAAACAGAUUUUUAAUCUCUUAAAGAUGCAUGGAGUUUGACAGCACCCACAUAUGAGGAGAAUAUUAAACAUUCUUGAAGAAAAAUUACCUCUACAGGUGCUUUUCCUGGGUGCAAACCCUCCAGCUGUGGUCUUUACGUAGGAGAAGUUAAGUCACAAACAUAAUUUCUCAUAAUGCAGAGAAAGCUCCUCCCAUCCUUGCUUACAAUAAAUUACAUACUCUGUCCACAAAGAAAUAAGUUUCCCUCUCUAAGCUGCUAUUUUUCCCUCUUGUUCUUCCUCACCACUGCAUUGAUCAGUGUCUCAAAGAGGUCUUAAUUUGAGAAUUUUCCUAAUGCACAAUGUGUGCAAGAUUAAGCUUUUUUCAAGGAUUUGCUGGUACAAAAGAAAUAUAUUUCACAAUAAGAAGAACAAUUGCCAUUCUAAAUAUCAAAGCACCAUGAUACACACUUUAUAGUUCUGCUCCAAAACACUUUUGUUUCAAAUUCUCUCUUUUCAGGAGCUGCUUCUUCUGAAAUUUCUCACUGUUGUUAAGUAGCCCAAAGGGGGAUUUGUGCAUGCGUGUGUGUGUGUGUGUGUGUGUGUGUGCAUGGGAAGUUUGGCAUAAUUCAUUCAGGAUAUUGAGGUAAUGGGGUUAUUCUAAGCAUGAAACAAGCUAAUUUUCAUGCCUUUUGGAAGCUGUUCUCCUGUUUGCCUAAUUUCAAAUUGUUUCCCUCUUGAAAGGUUAUUGUAACUGAUGUGUCUGAUGUGACCAGGGCAGCAGACCUGACCGGCUGGGACUGAUCCUGACAUGGGCACCAGGCUCUUCUCCAUCACCUGGAGAACUGCUUGAAGUUGGGUGGGACAAGCAGAAGGCAAAAGUGAUGUGUGUGGGGAAAAGGUCAGUGCAUAAACUUUUUCCAAGGAAAAAAGAAGCCACUGUGCCUAGCAGAAAUGUGGUUAGGUCUGAGGCUAGCAAAGGGUUCAGCUGAGAAACAAGGACAGCAUAGAUAAGCUGAGAAGCUUUCAAGAAACCAGGUCUUUUGGACAAAGCAACCAAUCUUCUACACUGAAAAGUCACCUGAAGACAGAAGGUGCCUGGAAGAGCAAGCUUUUAGUGCCAGCUCACGUACAACCUCAUUGUACAGCCAGAAUUGACACCAGAGAGAUUGGUUGACACAAUGGUCUUUGGAGUUUGCCAAAUAGCCAGAUGUUCCUUGCCAUGGGGGAAUUAUCUUCCUCACCCUGGCAUCUGGUUCCUGUAGCUGCCCAUAAAAGAAGGGGACAGGCACACUGUGCAGAGGGGCAGGUGGCACAUUGCAAUGGCUUUUUCAA